UCAGUGCUCUCUUAAUGAUCCCCCGCCGCGGUGACGUCCUCCACUCACCGCCCCUGCUCUUCUCCGAUUCUCCAUGACUCGACCGCGGCGACGCCCUUCGCGCCCCAGCUCACCGGCCUGGCUCCAAUCAGUGCUCUCCUCGAAUCCUCCGCCUCGGCAACGUCGCCACGGGUAGCGUCUUGGGAUCCGGACCACGGGGUGACGUGGGCUCCGGAUGCGCGGCUGCUUUCUUGGGAUGGACCGUGCUUCAUCGCCUUGGCUACCUCGACUCCAAUGGUUAUAGUUCAAGCAAGCAAAUUAUUUUGAAUGAUAAGGAGUUGCAACCAUCAAACGUAAGCCCUGCUACUGAUAAGAUUGAUAGGACAAAUGGUUGAUGCAUGGCCAAGAUGUUGAUUUUGAGGCGCAUACUGGUGCUACUACCAGAUAGCUCGACAUUAUGUUUUAGAAUGUCAUUCAAUGGUCAAUGUUAGAGCAGAUCAUAUCUAUAUAUUAUGUAUUCUAUAUCAUGUAGUCCUCGGAUGAUGUC